rnacentral:tRNA from 1 species
GCCGACGUGGCGAAAUUGGCAGACGCACUAGGUUUAGGACCUAGCGCCCGCAAGGGCAUGUCGGUUCGACUCCGACCGUCGGCA